UCGAGAAUUUUUCUCAAUGGGCGAAAGCCUGAAGGAGCGACGCCGCGUGGGGGAUGAAUGGCUUCGGCCCGUAAACCCCUGUCAUUUGUGAACAAAUUGCUUCACCUAACACGUGAAGCAUUGAUUGUAACGGAAGAGGAAGGGACGGCUAACUCUGUGCCAGCAGCCGCGGUAAUACAGAGGUCCCAAGCGUUGUUCGGAUUCACUGGGCGUAAAGGGUGCGUAGGCGGUUUGACAAGUCUGAUGUGAAAUCCCGCAGCUUAACUGCGGAACUGCAUUGGAAACUAUUUGACUAGAGGAAUGGAGGGGAGACUGGAAUACUUGGUGUAGCAGUGAAAUGCGUAGAUAUCAAGUGGAACACCAGUGGCGAAGGCGAGUCUCUGGACAUUUCCUGACGCUGAGGCACGAAAGCCAGGGGAGCAAACGG
rnacentral:rRNA from 1 species